UACGAAGGGGGCUAGCGUUGUUCGGAUUUACUGGGCGUAAAGCGCACGUAGGCGGAUUGUUAAGUCGGGGGUGAAAUCCUGGAGCUCAACUCCAGAACUGCCUUCGAUACUGGAGAGCUCGAGUCCGGGAGAGGUGAGUGGAACUGCGAGUGUAGAGGUGAAAUUCGUAGAUAUUCGCAAGAACACCAGUGGCGAAGGCGGCUCACUGGCCCGGUACUGACGCUGAGGUGCGAAAGCGUGGGGAGCAAACAGG
rnacentral:rRNA from 1 species